GUGGGGAAUCUUGCGCAAUGGGCGAAAGCCUGACGCAGCCAUGCCGCGUGAAUGAUGAAGGUCUUAGGAUUGUAAAAUUCUUUCACCGGGGACGAUAAUGACGGUACCCGGAGAAGAAGCCCCGGCUAACUUCGUGCCAGCAGCCGCGGUAAUACGAAGGGGGCUAGCGUUGCUCGGAAUUACUGGGCGUAAAGGGCGCGUAGGCGGACAGUUUAGUCAGAGGUGAAAGCCCAGGGCUCAACCUUGGAAUUGCCUUUGAUACUGGCUGUCUUGAGUACGGGAGAGGUGAGUGGAAAUCCGAGUGUAGAGGUGAAAUGCGUAGAUAGUCGGAAGAACACCAGUGGCGAAGGCGACUCACUGGCCCGUUACUGACGCUGAGGCGCGAAAGCGUGGGGAGCAAACAGGAUUAGAAACCCUAGUAGUCC
rnacentral:rRNA from 1 species